rnacentral:lncRNA from 10 species
UUGCAUAAGUACCUUAGCCUCUUUAACUUAAGCUCCUCAACUCAUUUUCAGUUCAUCUAUAAAAUGGAGAUAAUCAUGGUGCUUACCUUAUAAAAUUACUGUGAAGAUUAAGUAAGACUGAUAAUACUUAACAGUACCUGGCAGAGAUGACCUCUCAACAUUAGCUAUCAUCAUAAUUGAGAUGGGAUACUGAAAGUUACCAAGGUCCACUCAAAAUGUAUUUCAAAUUCCACCUGGAGGCUUAAAAAAAGUUAUCCAAUUUCAUCUUCUAAAAACUCUUAUGAGGUAGAAAUAAUGAUUUCUAUUACAAAAUACUACUCAUGACAGGUAUUUAGAAUGGUUCUAGAAGCUUAGAAGAUAAUGUUAAAUCCACAAAUGCCAAGUGCUGACCACAGAUAAAAAUGAAUACUGUUCCCUUUAAAGUAUCAGUAGUCAUUAGGAGAGGCUAUAAAACUAUUCCAACAAUCCUGCCAGUUUCAAAGUAUGUAUCACAUUAAUUCUUUCCGAACUAUAAAAGUAUGUUCACUUAGAAAAUUUGAAUAAAGAAAAAACACACAAAAGAGAAAACAGUUACUUAAUGUCUCAGUUUAAGAAUAUUCUUUUUUUCUUUUUUUUGAGACGGAGUCUCGCUCUGUCACCCAGGCUGUCCCCAGGACUUUUUUUUUUUUUUAAACCUACCUAUCUCUACCUUUAUUCACUGUGGUCCCUACUGCUUAGAACACCCCUUUCUUUUCUCUCUACUUAAUGUUUACUGUUCAGUCAAAUCUCAUGUUCUCUAUAAAGUUUUCCACAACUUUCCCAUCUUAGACUUAUUUGUAAUUACAACUUGUAAAAAGUCAAGUCAAAUAUGGAGUAUUAGAAAGAAAACUAUGAAUACUGGGGGGUAAAGUGAAUAAAAUAAAAAUAAAUAAAUAAAUAAAUAAUAGAAAACAGAACCUAGCUGUAUGACUGGACAAGUCAAUUAACCUCUCUAGAAUUCAAUUCUUUGCCUGCAAAAUGAGAGGGACAAACUAGAUCAGCGGUUCUCAAAGCAUAAAUUAAUUAGAAUUAUGUGGAAGUUUGGUUAAAACAGAUUGCUGGGCUCCACCUCCGUAAUUUCUGAUUCAGAAAAUUAGGGAGGAAUGAGAAUUUGCAGUGCUAACACGUUCCCAAGGGAUGCUGAUGGUGGUGGACCAGGAUCACGCUUUGAGAACCAUGGGAGUCAAAGAAAAGUCUUUGAAUGCCAAGGUAAAACAACUGAUCUUUAUUCUGUUUUUUUUUUUGUUUUUUUUUUUAGUGGAAAAAUUUCAAUUACUGUUGUAACAUUCAUCAAACCUUUUAUUAAGAGAUGGCUUUGGCAGCAACGUGCAUAUAAGAAACUAAGGCACAAUAAAAAAGACUCCUUCAAUAUCAGCAAUAAAUUAGAAAAAGGCCUGGAUUAGGGUGGUGGUAGUAAGAAUAAGAACAAAAUAGAACAUGAAAUCAGGAAUCACUUUCUAGAAUUGUGAGAUCACUAUAUCAUUUUUAGGGAUUUAGUGUUCAAGUUACUUUCUUAGUACAUUUCAAUUUCUAAUGUUUAAAAUUAAAAAUUUGGGGGAAAAUGACAGACUAGGUAGACUCAUUUUUUUUUUUUGUUUUUGAGACAGGGUCUCACUCUGUCGCCCAGGAUAGACUGCAGUGGCAUGAUCACAGCUCACUGCAGCCUCGACUUCUGGAGCUCAAGUGAUCCUCCCACACCUCAGCCUCCUUAAGUAGCUGGGACCAAAGGCGCACAUUUGUUUUUUGCAGAGAUGGGGUCUCACCAUGUUCCCAGGCUUGUAGGUAGACUCAUUUUAUCUCCAAGACUAUUUAAUGUAAUUAGUAAGAAAAUAAAAAGAUAUAAACCCCUACAACAAAGAAAACAGGAUGGACACCAUCAGUGUACAUAAGAAAUUUCAACAGAUUUCUGGAACACACAAAAAUAAAGGAAUGUGGCCAGGUGCAGUGGCUCAUGCUUGUAAUCCCAGCACUUUGGGAGGCCAGAGUGGGCUGAUCACCUGAAGUCAGGAGUUCGAGACCAGCCUGACCAACAUGGUAAAACCCAUCUUUACUAAAAAUACAAAAUCAGCCAGGCAUGGUGGUGCAUGCCUAUAAUCACAGCUACUUGGGAGGCUGAGGCAGGAGAAUUGCUUGAACCUGGGAGGCAGAGGUUCCAGUGAGCCAAGAUUGUGCCAUGGCACUCCAGCCUGGGCAACAAGAGCGAAACUCCAUCUCAAACAGUUCAAAAAAAAAAAAAGGAAUGUUGCCUGGUGAAGCAAAGUAGAAAAAGCUGUAUUGCCUGGUAAGAUAUAGAUGAGCCUACAACAGAAGACAGAGAUAUCAAGUUCAUUCAAAACCUGAGCAAAAGCCAGGCAUGGGGGUGCACACGUGCAGUUCCAGCUACUCAGGAGGCUGAGGCAGGAGGAUCACUUGAGCCUAAGAGUUCGAGGCUGCAGCGUGCUAUCAUUACAUUAUGCACUCCAAGCCUAGGCAACCAAGUGGAAUACCGUCUCUAAAGAUGAAAAACAAACAAAAACCUCAGAGAAGCUUUUAACUCAGAAAAUGCAAGUACAACAAAGGACACAGUGAUAUGUGGAUCUCAAAACAAGCCAAAUCUCACCAAACCACCAAACAAGCAUAAAGAUAGAUUAAAUAGAUUUCCAGACACACAGAGACUUAUAAAGUUAAUCUUCUCCACAAUCUUUCUUAAGAAAUUACUUGAAGACAUAUUUCAGCAAAACUAAGGUGUAAACACCAAAAGAGGAAGACACGGUAUGCAGCAAUUAAUGGACUAUCUCAGGAAAGCAACAAAGAGAAGGAAUCCCAUGAUAAAGGGUAUAAAAUAGGUCCAAAGAAACCAGUAUACAUUGGAAGAGGGCUCUGGGAAUGAAAUGUCCUUGAAAAAAAGUUAUAGAUUAGAUAGUAGGAAACUUGGAAAAACUUGAGGACAUAAAAGGCUGUAAGUGGUAUGUAAAAAAGAAUCCAUCAAAACAGCUAGAAAUAAUCUUUUGAGUGGCCUACGGACAGUUGUAUCAGUUAGUGGAGAACAAAACAUAAUUUUAGCACAUAUUCAGCACUAUAGAGGUAAAAUGUCCAUAUUCGUAAGGUGAACAUUUACUUUUUAACUUCAACAAUCAACCUACAUAUAAAUCAAUGAAGAAAACUUCACUAACAAUAGGAUAAUUAUAUUAUCAACUGUGAUAAUGAAAAUGUAGAACUGAAACAGUACAAUGUAAAAGGCAAGAACCACGAAUGUCGUAAUACAAAGGACGGAGUCUACAGAUAUUAUCCAAGUUGAAGAAACAUAAAAUUAAGCUUUAAGUAUAUGAUUUAAAGCUAUACUGGGAUGAGUUGGAUGGUAAGAAUGUUGUAUGUAGACCAUCACAGCAGAAAUCAAUAGACAAUGUUUAAAUGUGAUAAUGGGAUAAACUCUGAGCAGCCAAUAUAGACAUUACACUAUUUAUGCACAGAAACUCAUCUACUUUAGUCAAAGUUCACCACUCAGGAUCUUUACUUUGCACACAAUUCUUUUAAUUAGGGCACCAGAUUUCCAAGUCUGCAUACCUAACAGUGCAUGUGGAUUUACUAGAGAUUAUAAAAUCAGUAUACAAACUGCCCCAUAAACAAACAACACACCAUUUGUUUGGAGAGAAAAGAUAUACACAGCCAUUAAUGAGCAAGAAGGUAUUUUUUUUUUUAAAUCAGCAGAGACAGGGUUUUGUUUUGUUGCCCAGGCUGGUCUCAAACUCUUGGCUUCAAGUGAUCCUCCUGCCUCAGCCUCCCAAAGUGUUGGGAUUAUAGUCGUGAGCCACCACACCUGGCCAGAAAUUUUAUGGUCUCAUACAGACAUACAUAUAGCUAUACUAUAUAUGCAACCAGAUCAUGUGAGACAAGUAAAGACUACAAAUAUAAAAUAAGAUGCUGUAUCUGCAGUACAACUGAUCUACAUAGAAGCUUAGAAAAUCAAUAAAAAUAAUCAUGGGGGGUAGAUUUCAUAGCAGGGAUAGGGAUGUGGUUUAGGGGUAAGAUAAGGACAGACCAUGAAACAUGAAAAACUACAUGUUCAGAGAGAAGGGACAUUAACAAAUGAGCAAAGCUAACUCAGGAGCUUUGUCACGAGAAGUCACAGUAAACUCGAGAAGGAAGUCUUCAGGAACUCAAAGUCAUUGAAUGAAUAUACAAAACUGGCAGACGCAGGACUACAGAAAUAUUUUUUAGGCAAGCCUGUUUCUUACCAUCAAAAUUACAAGACAGCCUUUGCAGCUGGAAAUACAAGAAUCAUAAGGCAGACGCAGCAGACUUUUAAAAAUCGCCAUUAUUUUGUCCUUUAUAUGGGCAAAUAUAUAUAUAUACACACACACAUACAUAUAUUUCAAAUCUUUACCAAAGUAGAUGAAAUAUCGCAUUAAAGAACAGCAGAUGGCGCCAAAAUAUCUUUUUAAAAAAAUCAUUGCCUUGGGUCACUAUAAAAGAGCGUAAACUAGAAAAAAAAAUACAAAUUAUCCAAGUUUUAUUUUUAUUUUUUUGAGGCGGAGCCUCACUCUGUUGCUCAGGCUGGAGUGCAGUGGCGUGAUCUCAGUUCACUGCAACCUCUGUCUCCCAAGGUUUCGCCAUGUUGGCCAGGCUGGUCUUGAGCUCCUGACCUCAGGUGGUCCACCCACCUCGGCCUCCCAAAGUGCUGGGAUUACAGGCGUGAGCCACCGUGCCCAGCCCACUUAUCCAAGUUUUCAUGUAGUAAAUCUACAGACUGAUGUCAAUAACAAUGUUCUAAAGCAUGAGUACUUAAUGAAAAACAUAAUACAAAUGCAAAAACCUGAACUGACUUAUCUAGAAAAAGGGUCGGGCGCAGUGGCUUAUGCCUGUAAUGCCAGCACCUUGGGAGGCCAAGACGGUUGGAUCACGAGGUCAGGAGUUCAAGACCAGGUCAACAUGGUGAAACCCCGUCUCUACUAAAAAUACAAAAAUUAGCUGGGCGUGGUAGCCCGCGCCUGUAAUCCCAGCUACUCAGGAGGCUGAGGCAGGAGAAUGGCUUGAAUCCGGGAGGCGGAGGUCGCAGUGAGCAGAGAUCGCGCCACUCUGCACUCCAGCCUGGGCGACUGAGCAAAACUCUGUCUCCAAAAAAAAAAAAAAAAAGAAAAGAAAAGAAAAGAAAAAGUAUUAAUAGCUAUAAAAUUAAAGGAAUUCAUAUCAACAUUUACUUCAACUCUUAAUGGCACUAACAGAACUAAUGAGCAAUACAGGUAAUUUAAAGCCACUCUUCAGAGAUACGUAUUUCCUUUCUUGAUUCUAGGAUGCGAUGUAUAAGCAGAAACACUACAAUAAAAUGUACCCAACUAAUCUGAAGAUCAUCCAGAGUUCAAAAUAUUAAAAUACAAAAAUAAAAAAUGAAAAAAAAUUAAGGAUUUAGAGAACUUGUGCCAAAGUCAAUGGUUCGCUUUUAUCAUGAUAUUGGAGUUAAGACUGAAUUCAAUUUCAGAUGUCUUGGAGGAUUUUUUAAAAAAAGAUUAAACUAAUUUCACCGAUUGGUGCUGUGAAGAGAGGUUGGGAAAAACUUGGCAAAGAUUUAAAAGUAACAGGCUCUAGAUGAUUUACAUACAUACACAAAAAGAGUAUAUUUCCAUAAAUGGAUGAGACCUCAAGAAAGAUUCUCUUCCAAUCCCUUGUAUACAAACAGCUGAAGCUUUACUCUUGUCUUUCUUAUUUGCAGCCCUCAAAGUGUUUUCACAGUUACGCUUUCAAGGUAGCUGGGGGGUUUACACCCUUCAAGCACUGAAACAGAAUUUUAACUUUAAUCAUUUUGAUUAAAAAUAUUUCCAAACCCAAUUAUGUUGUCUUUUAAGACAAGGAUAUUCUUAAAAUAAUAUUAAUACUUUCAUAUUAUAAGAUAAUCAUUAGGAUCAUGAAAUAGUCUAUUUUUUUGUGCUAGGAUGAGACCUGAGAUUGAGGCCCCAUUUAUCAGUACCAAGCUAUUUUCUAGAAUAAGUUAUCCUAAAUGCUUAGUUUGAGAUUCUCAUGAAAAGUUCAUAGAUUUUCCCCCCUUUCUUGCUGUCAUGUUGCUGUUUCUAGCUGUCCAUGGGCUAACUAUAAAAUCCUCUCUUCUCUGAUAAACCGAUAAAAUAAGCUUAGGAGACAUGUCUGUUUUUAAAGUAAGAGUAAACGGGCACUAAAUGAGAGCUUAAGAGGUUUUUUCCAAGAAAGAACAUGGGUUUUAGAACUAUGCUAUGCUGCUCAGAAGUCUUUAUUGCUUCUGUUUCUUAGUGUUAAAUGAAACUGCUGGGCACUUUAUUCCAAAUAGUUAAACUACUCAUUUUUAUCACUGUGCCCUGACUAGCUAACUCAUUUGCCAGAGAGCACAGAACCAAAGAAUCUCCAACAGCCAGGGCAUGAGAAAUUGGCUAUAUUUCACAUGGCUAGCUAAUAAAUUUAAACAACAAUUAUGAAUGUAAGUUUUCAAUCCUUAGCCUUAAGAAUUAUUUUACCCUGGAUUUUUUUUUUUUUUUUUGGAGACAGAGUCUGGCUCUGUCGCCCAGAGUGGAGCGCAGUGGCACAAUCUCGGCCCACUGAAACCUCCGCCUCCCAGGUUCAAGCAAUUCUCCUGCCUUAGCAUCCCAAGUAGCUGGGACUACAGGUGCAUGCCACCACGCCCAGCUAAUUGUAUUUUAGUAGAGACAGGGUUUCACUGUGUUGCCCAGGCUGGUCUCGAACUCCUGAACUCAGAAAAUCCACCUGCCUCGGCCUCCCAAAGUGCUAGAAUUACAUGCGUGAGCCACCACGCCCAGCCUACCCUGGGUUAUUAACUAAGGCUAAUCAAAACUUUUCCCUGCAGGAGAGAGAGAGAAAGAAAGUCAAACCAGUCACAUAGAAUAACUGUGUUCCACUGGAAAAUAGGAAAAAAAAAAAAUCAGUUGUUUUCCCCUAUUUUUUUUUUUUUUUUUUUUGAGACGGAGUUUCACUCUCGUUGCCCAGGCUGGAGUGCAAUGGCGCAAUCUCGGCUCACUGCAACCUCCACCUCCCGGGUUCAAGUGAUUCUCCUGCCUCAGCCUCUGGAGUAGCUGGGUUUGCAUUUUUAGUAAAGUCACUACGUCCAGCUAAGUUUGUAUUUUUAGUAGAGAUGGGGUUUCUCCAUGUUGGUUAGGCUGGUUUCGAACUCCCAACCUCAGGUGAUCCACCCGCCACGGCCUCCCAAAGUGCUGGAAUUACAGGCAUGAACCACCACGCCUGGCCUUCCCCUAUUUUUAAGUCUUAAACUGGGAAGUGUAGCCGUCCUCAAACUUAGUUGUACACUGUGUACACUUAUGUAUCUUGUAAAAACAUAUACAUCCACACUUCCUAUGGAGUAGAUAUUGUAAUUGACUUCAUAAUAUUCAUUCUAUCCCAUAUGAAUAGUCUGACCUUUUUUUUUUUUUUUUUUGAGACAAGAUCUUGCUCUGUUGCUCAGGCAGAAGUGCAGUGGCACAAUCAUGGCUCACUGCAGCCUCGAUCUCCUGGGCUCAAGUGAUCCUUCCACCUCAGCCUCCCAAGUAGCUGAGCCCACAGGUGCAUACCACCAUGCCCAGCUAAUUAAAAAAAUUUUUUUUGGAGAGAUGGUGUCUUGCUGUAUUGCCCUGACUGGUCUUGAAUUUCUGGGCUCAAGCAAUCCUCCCAUCUCAGCCUCCUGAAGUGCUGGGAUUACAGAAGUGAACCACAGCACCCAGCCCAUUUAUGGUGACUCCAUACCCUAGGAUUGGCAGGUCCAAGCCAAUGUGGCCCAAUGAGACACAAGAAGUUAACUUGCUUGGUUUUGGCUUCUGGGAAAGAGACGUCCUUCUCUCUUUUUUCCUGAUAGAUACAAACAAGGAUGACGGAUGCAUUAUUUACAGAAGGCAGCCAUCCUAGGUCCUUAAGGAGAACUAACCUAAGGCCCAUGUUGGCACAAUGAAUAGGGCACAGCUAAGACAACAGCAGAAAAUCAAACACAAAACUUCUUGUCAUGUAAGGUUAAGUUUUUUUUUUUUUUCUUGAGAUAGAAUCUUGCUCUGUUUCUGUUGCCCAGGCUGGAGUGCAGUGGCACAGUCUCAGCUCACUAUGACCUCUGCCUCCCAGGUUCAGGUGAUUCUCCUGCCACAGCCUCCCGAGUGGCUGGGAUUACGGGCGCACGCUACCAUGCCUGGCUAAUUUUUUUUAUUUUUUAUUUUUAAUAGAGAUGGGGUUUCACCAUGUUGGCCAGGCUGGUCUCAAACGCUUGACCUCAAGUGAUCUGCCUGUUUCGGCCUCCCAAAGUGCUGGGACUACACAGGUGUGAGCCAUCGUGCCUGGCCAGUUUUCUUAUAGUUUAAGCCAAUUUAAAUCAGAUUUAAGUUACAUCCAAAAGCAUCUUGAAAUUUGAAAAAGCUCCGCUGUUCAAGAUACAUAACCAGGGUUGAAAGCCAUUGGGACUAGAGCAGUAAUAGCCUGAAAUUCAAAAGAAAUGAAACAAAGGGCGGGUGAUAUGAAGAACUGGAAAGGAAAAUGAAAAUAAGAAUCAAAAUCUAAUCUGUGAGGCAAACUUUUUAUUUUUUAUUUUUUUAAGAGAUAAUGUCUUGCUAUGUUGCCCAGACUGGUCUUGAACUCCUGGGCUCAAACAAUCCUCCUGCUUCAGCCUUCCAGAGCAGCUAGGACUAUUGUGCCACCACGCUUGGCUAAAAGGGCAAAUGUUUAAUCAUAAAAAUGUAAGUGCAAAUCUCAAAAUAUGCACAAUGUAUAAUUCUCUCUCUGGAUCAUCUUUUAGCAGUGAUCACCACAGUACAAGUACAUAAAUGCUGUAUAAUAACUAUAACAAAUCUAAGAACAAUUAGCCCAAAGACUUACAGCAGCUUCAAAAACGUUUUCAGCCGGGCGUGGUGGCUCACACCUGUAAUCCCAGCACUUUCGGAGGCUGAGGUGGACAGAUCACCUGAG